rnacentral:rRNA from 1 species
UUAAGCGACUAAGCGUACACGGUGGAUGCCCUGGCAGUCAGAGGCGAUGAAGGACGUGCUAAUCUGCGAUAAGCGUCGGUGAGGUGAUAUGAACCGUUAUAACCGGCGAUUUCCGAAUGGGGAAACCCAGUGUGUUUCGACACACUAUCAUUAACUGAAUCCAUAGGUUAAUGAGGCGAACCGGGGGAACUGAAACAUCUAAGUACCCCGAGGAAAAGAAAUCAACCGAGAUUCCCCCAGUAGCGGCGAGCGAACGGGGAGGAGCCCAGAGCCUGAAUCAGUGUGUGUGUUAGUGGAAGCGUCUGGAAAGGCGCGCGAUACAGGGUGACAGCCCCGUACACAAAAAUGCACAUACUGUGAGCUCGAUGAGUAGGGCGGGACACGUGGUAUCCUGUCUGAAUAUGGGGGGACCAUCCUCCAAGGCUAAAUACUCCUGACUGACCGAUAGUGAACCAGUACCGUGAGGGAAAGGCGAAAAGAACCCCGGCGAGGGGAGUGAAAAAGAACCUGAAACCGUGUACGUACAAGCAGUGGGAGCCUCUUAAUGGGGUGACUGCGUACCUUUUUGUAUAAUGGGUCAGCGACUUAUAUUCUGUAGCAAGGUUAACCGAAUAGGGGAGCCGAAGGGAAACCGAGUCUUAACUGGGCGUUAAGUUGCAGGGUAUAGACCCGAAACCCGGUGAUCUAGCCAUGGGCAGGUUGAAGGUUGGGUAACACUAACUGGAGGACCGAACCGACUAAUGUUGAAAAAUUAGCGGAUGACUUGUGGCUGGGGGUGAAAGGCCAAUCAAACCGGGAGAUAGCUGGUUCUCCCCGAAAGCUAUUUAGGUAGCGCCUCGUGAAUUCAUCUCCGGGGGUAGAGCACUGUUUCGGCAAGGGGGUCAUCCCGACUUACCAACCCGAUGCAAACUGCGAAUACCGGAGAAUGUUAUCACGGGAGACACACGGCGGGUGCUAACGUCCGUCGUGAAGAGGGAAACAACCCAGACCGCCAGCUAAGGUCCCAAAGUCAUGGUUAAGUGGGAAACGAUGUGGGAAGGCCCAGACAGCCAGGAUGUUGGCUUAGAAGCAGCCAUCAUUUAAAGAAAGCGUAAUAGCUCACUGGUCGAGUCGGCCUGCGCGGAAGAUGUAACGGGGCUAAACCAUGCACCGAAGCUGCGGCAGCGACACUAUGUGUUGUUGGGUAGGGGAGCGUUCUGUAAGCCUGUGAAGGUGGCCUGUGAGGGUUGCUGGAGGUAUCAGAAGUGCGAAUGCUGACAUAAGUAACGAUAAAGCGGGUGAAAAGCCCGCUCGCCGGAAGACCAAGGGUUCCUGUCCAACGUUAAUCGGGGCAGGGUGAGUCGACCCCUAAGGCGAGGCCGAAAGGCGUAGUCGAUGGGAAACAGGUUAAUAUUCCUGUACUUGGUGUUACUGCGAAGGGGGGACGGAGAAGGCUAUGUUGGCCGGGCGACGGUUGUCCCGGUUUAAGCGUGUAGGCUGGUUUUCCAGGCAAAUCCGGAAAAUCAAGGCUGAGGCGUGAUGACGAGGCACUACGGUGCUGAAGCGACAAAUGCCCUGCUUCCAGGAAAAGCCUCUAAGCAUCAGGUAACAUCAAAUCGUACCCCAAACCGACACAGGUGGUCAGGUAGAGAAUACCAAGGCGCUUGAGAGAACUCGGGUGAAGGAACUAGGCAAAAUGGUGCCGUAACUUCGGGAGAAGGCACGCUGAUAUGUAGGUGAAGCGACUUGCUCGUGGAGCUGAAAUCAGUCGAAGAUACCAGCUGGCUGCAACUGUUUAUUAAAAACACAGCACUGUGCAAACACGAAAGUGGACGUAUACGGUGUGACGCCUGCCCGGUGCCGGAAGGUUAAUUGAUGGGGUUAGCGGUAACGCGAAGCUCUUGAUCGAAGCCCCGGUAAACGGCGGCCGUAACUAUAACGGUCCUAAGGUAGCGAAAUUCCUUGUCGGGUAAGUUCCGACCUGCACGAAUGGCGUAAUGAUGGCCAGGCUGUCUCCACCCGAGACUCAGUGAAAUUGAACUCGCUGUGAAGAUGCAGUGUACCCGCGGCAAGACGGAAAGACCCCGUGAACCUUUACUAUAGCUUGACACUGAACAUUGAGCCUUGAUGUGUAGGAUAGGUGGGAGGCUUUGAAGUGUGGACGCCAGUCUGCAUGGAGCCGGCCUUGAAAUACCACCCUUUAAUGUUUGAUGUUCUAACGUGGGCCCCUUACCGGGGUUGCGGACAGUGUCUGGUGGGUAGUUUGACUGGGGCGGUCUCCUCCUAAAGAGUAACGGAGGAGCACGAAGGUUGGCUAAUCCUGGUCGGACAUCAGGAGGUUAGUGCAAUGGCAUAAGCCAGCUUGACUGCGAGCGUGACGGCGCGAGCAGGUGCGAAAGCAGGUCAUAGUGAUCCGGUGGUUCUGAAUGGAAGGGCCAUCGCUCAACGGAUAAAAGGUACUCCGGGGAUAACAGGCUGAUACCGCCCAAGAGUUCAUAUCGACGGCGGUGUUUGGCACCUCGAUGUCGGCUCAUCACAUCCUGGGGCUGAAGUAGGUCCCAAGGGUAUGGCUGUUCGCCAUUUAAAGUGGUACGCGAGCUGGGUUUAGAACGUCGUGAGACAGUUCGGUCCCUAUCUGCCGUGGGCGCUGGAGAACUGAGGGGGGCUGCUCCUAGUACGAGAGGACCGGAGUGGACGCAUCACUGGUGUUCGGGUUGUCAUGCCAAUGGCACUGCCCGGUAGCUAAAUGCGGAAGAGAUAAGUGCUGAAAGCAUCUAAGCACGAAACUUGCCCCGAGAUGAGUUCUCCCUGACCCUUUAAGGGUCCUGAAGGAACGUUGAAGACGACGACGUUGAUAGGCCGGGUGUGUAAGCGCAGCGAUGCGUUGAGCUAACCGGUACUAAUGAACCGUGAGGCUUAACCUU